CGAACGGUAACGGGAAGUAGCUUGCUACUUUGCUGACGAGUGGCGGACGGGUGAGUAACGUAUGGGAAUUUACCGAAUGGAGGGGGACAACAGUUGGAAACGGCUGCUAAUACCGCAUAACGUCGAGAGACCAAAGGGUGGGACCUUCGGGCCACUUGCCAUUUGAUGAGCCCAUAUGAGAUUAGCUAGUUGGUGUGGUAAUGGCUCACCAAGGCGACGAUCUCUAGCUGGUUUGAGAGGAUGACCAGCCACACUGGGACUGAGACACGGCCCAGACUCCUACGGGAGGCAGCAGUGGGGAAUAUUGCACAAUGGGGGGAACCCUGAUGCAGCCAUGCCGCGUGUAUGAAGAAGGCCUUAGGGUUGUAAAGUACUUUCGUGGAGGAGGAAGGGUUUACGUUUAAUAGGCGUGGACAUUGACGUUACUCCAAGAAGAAGCACCGGCUAACUCCGUGCCAGCAGCCGCGGUAAUACGGAGGGUGCGAGCGUUAAUCGGAAUGACUGGGCGUAAAGGGCAUGUAGGCG
rnacentral:rRNA from 1 species